rnacentral:rRNA from 1 species
UACGUAGGUGACAAGCGUUGUCCGGAUUUACUUGGCGUAAAGAGCGCGCAGGCGGUCGUUCAAGUCGAGUGUGAAAGCCCCCGGCUCAACUGGGGAGGGUCAUUCGAUACUGAUCGACUCGAAGGCAGGAGAGGGUAGUGGAAUUCCCGGUGUAGUGGUGAAAUGCGUAGAUAUCGGGAGGAACACCAGUGGCGAAGGCGACUACCUGGCCUGUUCUUGACGCUGAGGCGCGAAAGCUAGGGGAGCAAACAGG